GGGUUGUGAGGUUAAGCGACUAAGCGUACACGGUGGAUGCCCUGGCAGUCAGAGGCGAUGAAGGACGUGCUAAUCUGCGAUAAGCGUCGGUGAGGUGAUAUGAACCGUUAUAACCGGCGAUUUCCGAAUGGGGAAACCCAGUGUGUUUCGACACACUAUCAUUAACUGAAUCCAUAGGUUAAUGAGGCGAACCGGGGGAACUGAAACAUCUAAGUACCCCGAGGAAAAGAAAUCAACCGAGAUUCCCCCAGUAGCGGCGAGCGAACGGGGAGGAGCCCAGAGCCUGAAUCAGUGUGUGUGUUAGUGGAAGCGUCUGGAAAGGCGUGCGAUACAGGGUGACAGCCCCGUACACAAAAAUGCACAUAUUGUGAGCUCGAUGAGUAGGGCGGGACACGUGGUAUCCUGUCUGAAUAUGGGGGGACCAUCCUCCAAGGCUAAAUACUCCUGACUGACCGAUAGUGAACCAGUACCGUGAGGGAAAGGCGAAAAGAACCCCGGCGAGGGGAGUGAAAAAGAACCUGAAACCGUGUACGUACAAGCAGUGGGAGCCUCUUAAUGGGGUGACUGCGUACCUUUUGUAUAAUGGGUCAGCGACUUAUAUUCUGUAGCAAGGUUAACCGAAUAGGGGAGCCGAAGGGAAACCGAGUCUUAACUGGGCGUUAAGUUGCAGGGUAUAGACCCGAAACCCGGUGAUCUAGCCAUGGGCAGGUUGAAGGUUGGGUAACACUAACUGGAGGACCGAACCGACUAAUGUUGAAAAAUUAGCGGAUGACUUGUGGCUGGGGGUGAAAGGCCAAUCAAACCGGGAGAUAGCUGGUUCUCCCCGAAAGCUAUUUAGGUAGCGCCUCGUGAAUUCAUCUCCGGGGGUAGAGCACUGUUUCGGCAAGGGGGUCAUCCCGACUUACCAACCCGAUGCAAACUGCGAAUACCGGAGAAUGUUAUCACGGGAGACACACGGCGGGUGCUAACGUCCGUCGUGAAGAGGGAAACAACCCAGACCGCCAGCUAAGGUCCCAAAGUCAUGGUUAAGUGGGAAACGAUGUGGGAAGGCCCAGACAGCCAGGAUGUUGGCUUAGAAGCAGCCAUCAUUUAAAGAAAGCGUAAUAGCUCACUGGUCGAGUCGGCCUGCGCGGAAGAUGUAACGGGGCUAAACCAUGCACCGAAGCUGCGGCAGCGACACUAUGUGUUGUUGGGUA
rnacentral:rRNA from 1 species